rnacentral:tRNA from 1 species
UUUUUUGUGGCAGAGGAAUGCAAAGAUUUUAAGAGUCUUUUAUGAAAUUUAUUUCCUUCCCUU